rnacentral:misc_RNA from 1 species
AACGCACCUUGCGCUCCCUGGUAUUCCUAGGAGCAUGCCUGUUUGAGUGUCGUGAACUUAUCAACCCCAUAAAGAUUUUGGUCUCUAUGGUGGCUUGGACUUGGGGGCUUGCUGGCCAUUAAUUUGGUCGGCUCUCCUUAAAUGCAUUAGCUUUGGACUUGUUCUGUAGGCUGCUUGGCGUGAUAAUUAUCUACGCUUUGCAAUCGUCUGUGGAAUAUUAUGGGUCUAGCUUCUAAUCGUCCUCUGGACACUAUUCAUUCGUUUUGACCUCAAAUCAGGUAGGACUACCCGCUGAACUUAA